rnacentral:rRNA from 1 species
AGAGUUUGAUCCUGGCUCAGAUUGAACGCUGGCGGUAUGCUUAACACAUGCAAGUCGAACGGAAACGAUACUAGCUUGCUAGUAGGCGUCGAGUGGCGGACGGGUGAGUAACGCGUAGGAAUCUACCAGAUAGUGGGGGAUAGCCCGGAGAAAUUCGGAUUAAUACCGCAUAAUCUCUACGGAGUAAAGGAGGCCUCUAUUUAUAUGCUUUCGCUAUCUGAUGAGCCUGCGUAAGAUUAGCUAGUUGGUGAGGUAAAAGCUCACCAAGGCAACGAUCUUUAGCUGGUCUGAGAGGAUGAUCAGCCACACUGGGACUGAGACACGGCCCAGACUCCUACCGGGAGGCAGCAGUGGGGAAUAUUGGACAAUGGGGGCAACCCUGAUCCAGCAAUACCGCCUGUGUGAAGAAGGCCUGAGGGUUGUAAAGCACUUUCAAUUGUGAAGAAAAGUUAAUAGUUAAUAACUAUUAGCCUGACGUAACUUUAGAAGAAG